rnacentral:lncRNA from 1 species
ACGUUCUUAAAGGUGAUGUCCAAAUUGAGUUCGUUGAAACUAAACAUCAAUUGGCCGACAUCUUCACCAAACCUUUGGAUAAAGAGUCGUUCUUCCGUAUUCGAAUUGAACACGGAAUUCUUGACUCUACGUUGAUCUAAUGCAUACAUUUAGGUUGCAUUCAUUUUUGAAUAUUUACUAACUUGAGCGUCGGAGACGUUUAUUUUCUUUUUUGCAGGUAUCGCCN